rfam:Ovis aries breed Texel chromosome 6, whole genome shotgun sequence.
UCCCUGGUGGUUCAGUGGGUAGGACUUUGCACUUUCACUGCCAAGGGCCCAGAUUUGAUUGCUGGUCCGGGAA